rnacentral:siRNA from 1 species
UAAAUUCAGGAAGGGUUUCAC